rnacentral:rRNA from 1 species
GUGCCAGCAGCCGCGGUAAUACGGAGGAUCCAAGCGUUAUCCGGAUUUAUUGGGUUUAAAGGGUGCGUAGGCGGCCUGUUAAGUCAGGGGUGAAAGACGGUGGCUCAACCAUCGCAGUGCCCUUGAUACUGAUGGGCUUGAAUGGACUAGAGGUAGGCGGAAUGUGACAAGUAGCGGUGAAAUGCAUAGAUAUGUCACAGAACACCGAUUGCGAAGGCAGCUUACUAUGGUUUUAUUGACGCUGAGGCACGAAAGCGUGGGGAUCGAACAGGAUUAGAUACCCCAGUAGUC